GACGAACGCUGGCGGCGUGCCUAAUACAUGCAAGUGGGACGCAAGGGAACACACUGUGCUUGCACACCGUGUUUUCUUGAGUCGCGAACGGGUGAGUAACGCGUAGGUAACCUGCCUAUUAGCGGGGGAUAACUAUUGGAAACGAUAGCUAAUACCGCAUAAUAUUAAUUAUUGCAUGAUAAUUGAUUGAAAGAUGCAAGCGCAUCACUAGUAGAUGGACCUGCGUUGUAUUAGCUAGUUGGUAAGGUAAGAGCUUACCAAGGCGACGAUACAUAGCCGACCUGAGAGGGUGAUCGGCCACACUGGGACUGAGACACGGCCCAGACUCCUACGGGAGGCAGCAGUAGGGAAUCUUCGGCAAUGGACGAAAGUCUGACCGAGCAACGCCGCGUGAGUGAAGAAGGUUUUCGGAUCGUAAAGCUCUGUUGUAAGUCAAGAACGU
rnacentral:rRNA from 1 species